rnacentral:misc_RNA from 1 species
GAUGAAGAACGUAGCGAAAUGCGAUAAGUAAUGUGAAUUGCAGAAUUCAGUGAAUCAUCGAAUCUUUGAACGCAUAUUGCGCCCAUUAGUAUUCUAGUGGGCAUGCCUGUUCGAGCGUCAUUAAGUCCACUUAAGCCCUGCUUAGUGUUGGGAGACUGCUCCAGCGGUGCUACCCUGUAGCUACCCUGCAGCUCCUCAAAGACAGCGGCGGAGUUGUGGUAUCCUCUGAGCUUAGUAACUUGUUCUAGCUUUCGAGUACACCACUUCCCCUGCCGUAAAACCCUUAAUUUUUAAUGGUUGACCUCGGAUCAGGUAGGAAUACCCGCUGAACUUAAGCAUAUCAAUAAGCGGAGGA